CACGUAGGGGGCGAGCGUUGUCCGGAUUUAUUGGGCGUAAAGAGCUCGUAGGCGGUUCGGCAAGUCGGGUGUGAAAUUUCGAGGCUCAACCUCGAAACGCCACUCGAUACUGCUGUGACUGGAGUCCGGUAGAGGAGUGCGGAAUUCCUGGUGUAGCGGUGAAAUGCGCAGAUAUCAGGAGGAACACCAGUGGCGAAGGCGGCUUCCUGGUCCGCGACUGACGCUGAGGCGCGAAAGCGUGGGGAGCGAUCCGG
rnacentral:rRNA from 1 species